AAGGGAGAAAUGAGCAGGUAAAGAUGCACAUGUGCUCCAGUUAAGAUACAUGCUAAAUAUCAACCUAUUUAAGUGGUUGUGAAAUGUUUAAGGACCCUUCAAGGACCAAGGAUAAUUCCCUUAUUUGCAGAAUGCAGCCAACGAGUUUUCACGGUGGAUUUGGAGAGAAAGCUACAAAUAAACCAGUUGCAAGAAA